GAUGAACGCUAGCGGCAGGCUUAAUACAUGCAAGUCGAGGGGGAGAAUGACUGUAUCAAUACAGUUGAUGGCGAUCGGCAAACGGGUGCGGAACACGUACAGAACCUUCCUUUAAGCGGGGGAUCCACCAGAGGCAUUUGGAUUAAUACCGCAACGUAUUGCUGCUUGGCAUCUAUUUAUGAUUAAGAAUUUAUCACUUAAAGAUUGCUGUGCGGCUUAUGAGGUAGUGUGCGGGGUAAUGGACCACCAAGCCUUCGAUCAGUAACUGGUGUGAGAGCACGACCAGUCACACGGGCACUGAGACACGGGACCGACUCCUACGGGAGGCAGCAGUAAGGAAUAUUGGGCAAUGGACGCAAGUCUGACCCAGCCAUGCCGCGUGGAGGAUGAAGGUCCUCUGGAUUGUAAACUUCUUUUAUUUGGGAAGAAACCCGGAUUUUCUAAUUCGGUUGACGGUACCAGAUGAAUAAGCACCGGCUAACUCCGUGCCAGCAGCCGCCGUAAAAC
rnacentral:rRNA from 1 species